rnacentral:rRNA from 1 species
GACAGAGGGUGCGAACGUUGUUCGGAAUUACUGGGCGUAAAGCGCGUGUAGGCGGCAGCGCAAGUCGGGCGUGAAAUCCCACGGCUCAACCGUGGAAGUGCACUCGAAACUGCGCAGCUAGAGUCCUGGAGAGGAAGGUGGAAUGCUUGGUGUAGAGGUGAAAUUCGUAGAUAUCAAGCGGAACACCGGUGGCGAAGGCGGCCUUCUGGACAGUGACUGACGCUGAGACGCGAAAGCGUGGGGAGCAAAC